rnacentral:tRNA from 1 species
AGUGGCGAAAUCGGUAGACGCAGUUGAUUCAAAAUCAACCGUAGAAAUACGUGCCGGUUCGAGUCCUGCCUGAAAUCCA